GGUAACCGCUGGAAUAUUCUGGGCUUCAAUUUUGCUAAAAGAGAUGCGCUAUCUAGUGUAUAUAAGAUAUCUAUGAGUAUACUCUUCAUGUCACAAUAAUGACAUCUGGCAUGCAAUCAAACUUAAUAGAUUUAAUAAAGAAUUUUUCAGGUUUACUUUUACCCACACUUUCAUCAAACUAUAUAUACAUUGAUUACUGUAACUUCGACAGGGUAUGUUUACACUAUCAAAGUUUCUGUGAUCACAGUAGGAAUUUUGUGUCGGUAAAUUCUAAGUUUUGAAGGAUUUGUAAGAAAUGUUUGAGGGAACUGAGUCAGUGUUAAACGCACAUACUUUUUAUCAAAGAAACUUUAACAGUGUAGUCUUACACUACACAACGCUUUGAAUUUUACAUCAGACAUCAUAUUAAAUUUAAUUUUACAACAUAUAUAGUAAUAAAAAAAUAACGUUUUAUUUACAUAAACCAUUUGGAUUGUGGUUUUCUAGAGACCUUUUGGCUUUUCAGUUAAACUGAUCUCGGCGUAAAACAUUCGCAUGGUACAUUAUAUUUGUAUUUAAAUAAAUUCGCGAGAUACAAAUUUUCGCUCAGUCUCAACUCAUCCGAUACAACUUUGAGCACCCGAGAAAUGCGACAUUUUAGCCCAGCUUUUAUUUCGCGCAACUUGAAACGGCCCAAAACUAGAAAAUUACACUCGAAUGACGGUUUUUCCGUGUUGAAAUGAUAUUUUCAAGAUAUUUUAAGAUUUUCACCUGAAUCGUUCAAAAACACAUAAUUUACUUGUCUGAUUUUCAAUAUUUUGUGUUAUAUGCUGGCAUGCAAACGUUUACACGCAGAUUAGUCUUCUGGGCCGGUUGUAUAAAAAAGUGAUUAAAGUUUUAAAAUCAUAGUUAAGUGGAAAUGUCAUCCAAUAAGAAGCGCCUAUUUGAGAGUUAAUCACUAUUUAACUACAAAAUAGUGAUCAAAAAAGUGAUUAAGAGUUUUACACAACCGGCCCCUGCAUGUAAAAUGUAUGGUAAACCGUUUUUCUCGGAUAAAUUUUUCGGUGAGUUUUAAUUUCGCGCAAUUACGGUCUGCGCGAAUUCCAAUAUUGCGCAAAUUUAAAUACAAGUAAGAUAUAACAUAAUUCAAAGUUCAUAACCAAUUAGCCUUUCGCACGGCCGAUUUUUCCGCCAUUUUGGGGGGUACUUGCCUCUCCCACGUUUGAGAGUCUCUGCACCACGAAAUACAACUUUUUAGUAUUGUAGUUGUUUGUAUUGUAGUAAAUUUACAGUUAAAACUUUAAAAAGUCGCUUUUCACGUUUUUUGAAUUGUCUAGAAUCUUUCACGAGGGCAGACAGUACCCCAAAAGUGGCGGAUUUUGGCCUUCAUGAGAAAGUUUAAUUGAACAUUUCAUAUAUUACAUAUGACUUAUAUACUAAAAAAGAUCAAUAACUAUCAAUGAAAAUAUGCAUCAGCUUUGUGAAAGAUUGUGUUGCAGAGCCUGAAAUAACGGUCGAAAUUGUCCGGAAAAGCCCGACCAAUUGUAAAUUUAUUGGAAACUUUCAAAUUUGGUCAGAUAUUUGGACGCAAUUCUGGACAAGGCAGAAAAAAGUACGUACUGAAAAUAUACAUGAAUUUUCACCAAAAUAUUUCGAUUUCCGAUCACUUCUGUAUUAUCCGAACCAAUUGCAAGUUGGCAUUUUAAAAUUAAAUUGUUUGACAAAUGUACAACAUAGUUUUAACACCCUUUGAAAAUAAUGCUGACGUCAGCGAUAAUAUCUUUAAAAACUCCGUAACUCAAAGAGAAAUAAUUGUAUCGACUCAAUUCACAAAUUCACUCUUCAGCCUAGUACAAAAUAGAUUUAGUAGUUUAGAUUUGGAAUUUGUCAAGUGAAUGGCUUAACUUCUAUAUUUCAGGCUCUGCAUUAGGAAUAGAAAAACUAUUGAAGUAUUUAUGCCAUUUCAUAUUUACAUUAGUUAUCUGAAAAUAUUGAACAAUUUAUUUAUUUUCAAUUGUAGUUUCUUGGGAAAAAAAAUUUUCCUACAGGAUCCAAGAACUCAAACUUCUAACUUACAACUCUAAAUAGAACCAUGUUUUCAGUUCAUACUGUAUUUCCUUUUAAUCGUUUCACUCAAACCAGGCGCAUAGGAAGCGCGGGGAUUGUGGAUAACCACGCCCCUUGUUAAACACAUUGGGGCUGGGGGGAUGUAAUAGAUUUUUGCCUGCUAAAACUGAAAUGUUUGG
rnacentral:lncRNA from 1 species